rnacentral:rRNA from 1 species
CCUACGGGCGGCAGCAGUAGGGAAUCUUCCACAAUGGGCGAAAGCCUGAUGGAGCAACGCCGCGUGGGUGAAGAAGGUCUUCGGAUCGUAAAACCCUGUUGUUAGAGAAGAAAGUGCGUGAGAGUAACUGUUCACGUUUCGACGGUAUCUAACCAGAAAGCCACGGCUAACUACGUGCCAGCAGCCGCGGUAAUACGUAGGUGGCAAGCGUUAUCCGGAUUUAUUGGGCGUAAAGGGAACGCAGGCGGUCUUUUAAGUCUGAUUGGAAAGCCUUCGGCUUAACCGGAGUAGUGCAUUGGAAACUGGGAGACUUGAGUGCAGAAGAGGAGAGUGGAACUCCAUGUGUAGCGGUGAAAUGCGUAGAUAUAUGGAAGAACACCAGUGGCGAAAGCGGCUCUCUGGUCUGUAACUGACGCUGAGGUUCGAAAGCGUGGGUAGCAAACAGGAUUAGAUACCCGAGUAGUC